rnacentral:rRNA from 1 species
GUAAGGAAUAUUGGUCAAUGGACGCAAGUCUGAACCAGCCAUGCCGCGUGGAGGAUGAAGGUCCUCUGGAUUGUAAACUUCUUUUCUCUGGGACGAAACCCCCGAUUUCUAUCGGGCCUGACGGUACCAGAGGAAUAAGCACCGGCUAACUCCGUGCCAGCAGCCGCGGUAAUACGGAGGGUGCAAGCGUUAUCCGGAUUCACUGGGUUUAAAGGGAGCGUAGGUGGGCAGUUAAGUCAGUGGUGAAAUCUCUGGGCUUAACCCGGAAACUGCCAUUGAUACUAUCUGUCUUGAAUAUUCUGGAGGUAAGCGGAAUAUGUCAUGUAGCGGUGAAAUGCUUAGAUAUGACAUAGAACACCCAUUGCGAAGGCAGCUUACUACGGAAUUAUUGACACUGAGGCUCGAAAGCGUGGGGAUCAAACAGGAUUAGAAACCCGGGUAGUCC